CCUCAGAUAAUGUCUCCAAUGCCCACAGUAGGAAGGACUCACCCACCCAGAAGGAGAAUCCAGGCAGAAUCCGGCACCAGAGUCCUCAGAUAAUGUCUCCAAUGCCCACAGUAGGAAGGACUCACCCACCCAGAAGGAGAAUCCAGGCAGAAUCCGGCACCAGACUCCUCAGAUAAUGUCUCCAAUGCCCACAGUAGGAAGGACUCACCCACCCAGAAGGAGAAUCCAGGCAGAAUCCGGCACCAGACUCCUCAGAUAAUGUCUCCAAUGCCCACAGUAGGAAGGACUCACCCACCCAGAAGGAGAAUCCAGCUGGAGUGGGAGGAGAAAGGCAUAGCCUAGGAGUCAGCGGUGGAAGAGAAAGCUUAUUGGCUCAGAUUGAGGAAGACAUCUAAGUCAAUGGAGAAAACACCACUAACGGCUGAGUAAAUGGGGAAAUGCCUGUACUAACCCUAUAGGAUCAUUGUGAAUGUUAAAAAAGUUCUGUGAUGGCUAAUUUCAUGUGUCAGCUGGACAGAGUUAAAAGAUGCCAAGAGAGCUGGUGAAACAUUUCUGGAUAUGUCUCUCUGAAGGUGUGUCUGGAAGAGGGUGGCACCUGAAUCAGUGGACCCUGUGAAGCAAAUGGCCCUCUAGAGUGUCAAUGGGCAUCAUCUAAUGCAUCGAGGUUCUAAAUAGAACAAAACAACCAAUGAAGAUGAAAUUUGCUCUCUGCCUAACUACUUGUGCUGAGAUAUUGAUCUUUUCCUGACUCUACUACUUCUGGUUCUCAGGCCUUCAUCCUUGCACUAGAAGCUACAUUAUCUCCAGCUUUCAGCCCUUUGAACUACAUCACCAGCUUUCCUGAAUUUUACAGAGGGCAGAUCAUGGGACUUCUCAGCCUCUAAACUCAUGUCUGGAGGUCAGAAGGCCAAAAAAUGGGUCUCGCUGAGCUACAAUCAAGGUGUCAUCAGGCUGUGUCCUUUCCUGGAGGUUCUAGAAGAGAAUCGUAUCCUUGCUCUUUUCCCACUUCCAGAGGCUGCCACAUUCCUUGACUUGUGGCUCCUCCGUCUGUCUUCAAAGCCAGAGACAGAUGGUGAAUGGAGUCCUUUCACAUGGCUCACUCUGCCCUUGCUCCUGUCGUCACAUUCCCUUCUUUGUCUAACUUUUCUGCCUCCUUUCUCCACUCUUGUCAUUACCUUGGGCCCAUCUGAAAAUCCAGAAUCAUCCCCCAAAUUAAAGUCAGUGGACUAGCAACUUUAAUUCCACCUGCAACCUUAUUUCCCUUCCACCAUGAGCCUAACCUCACCACGAGUGUCAGGGAUUUGCACAUGGACAUCUUCGGGAACCCCUUCAUGAGUGGUUGGGGGGAUGUGGCCAGAAAGACGGCAGCAGCAGGAUGCGCGGGAACUCUGCAGCUGCGCUGAGGCAUCUGAGAGCCAAGG
ensembl:lncRNA